rnacentral:rRNA from 1 species
AGCGAACGCUGGCGGCAGGCUUAACACAUGCAAGUCGAGCGGGCAUCCUUGUGGUGUCAGCGGCAGACGGGUGAGUAACGCGUGGGAACGUGCCCUUCGGUUUGGAAUAACUCAGGGAAACUUGAGCUAAUACCGGAUACGUUCGCGAGCAGAAAGGUUUAUCUGCCGAAGGAUCGGCGCGCGUCUGAUUAGCUAGUUGGUGAGGUUAUGGCUCACCAAGGCGACGAGCAGUAGCUGGUCUGAGAGGAUGAGCAGCCACACUGGGGCUGCGACACGGCCCCGACUCCUAGGCGAGGCAGCAGUGGGGAAUACUGGACGAUGGGGGCAACCCUGAUCCAGCCGUGCCGCGUGAGUGAUGACGGCCGUAGGGUUGUAAAGCUCUUUUCUACGGGACGAUAAUGACGGUACCGGAGGAAUAAGCCCCGGCUAACUUCGUG